AAGAGAGACGGAUACACUUUAAUGGGGGAGGGGCCACAAUUCUCAAAAUCCAAGAGCGCCCCCUGAAGCUUGGUCUCCUUCACACCCUCAUACCUAUCGACGGAGCUCUUUCUUCUUAACCACACCCCAAAGAGACCCGCCGUUCUUCAACCAGACCCCACCCCCGAGUCAUCUCCUUCGUCGAACCUCCAGCGACCACUCCCUGAACCGGAUCUAGCCGUUGUUUCUCAUCCAGUCGAACGAACCUCAAAACAUAAUAGACCUAGCAGCUAUAGACAAAUAGAAGCUGUUGCUUCUUCUUCAUAAAACCAACAGACCAUUCUUCCAAAAAACGCACAAACAGCGUCACGCGCACGAACAGAUUUUCGAAACGUAGAGUUUAACUGAAGUUGAGAAUCGUUUUUGAGUUCGAAUCCAUUGUCAGUUGCCGUUGAGGUUCGAGGUCGGGGUUAAUAGCUCAUUUUUGGUUUGCUGCUUUGGAAACUCUCUUCGUCGAUUCGUCGUCGAAGAAUAUGCAGCAACGAGGUUUAGCUCUUUUCAUUCUUUAUGGAUCAAUAGCUUUACAUUAUAUUUGGAUAUGUUUGAAUCUACAUGGAUCUGUUUAAUCUUGGUUGGUUUCCUUGUUUAGUUUAUUCAAUUUUUGCAUUUCUUUUUCUUUGAACCAAGCUUUACAGAUCGGUCCAUGAACUUUGCAUUUUUUGUUGCAUUUGAUUGGGUUUAAAUUGCUCUUUCUAAAAUCAGAUGUUGGCAUAUCUUCUUUGUUCGAUUAGUUAUGUGUGCUACUUAUUUUUUCUUUGAGUUUCCUUAGUGAAAUUAUGUUGUCGAGUUGCUGCUUGUACUUGAAGAUGAAUAGAACAAUAGAUGGCCAUUUGGUUUUGGUUUAUGCUCAGAGGAAAUUGACUGAUUUCAAAUAGCCAUUUUGUCGCGUUGUAUUUGGAAGUUGAUUAGUUUUAUCAAAAUUAAACCCACGGGUACAAAGAAAGAGCAGAUAGUGGUCCAGAUGAGACUGAUCUUACAGCUGAUAGUGAUAUUGAUUCUUUAAUUAGAAAAUAGAUGAUGUGACAUGGUCGCCACAGUCCAGUCAAAAUAUUUUGCAAAAUAAUGUACUUGCAGUCUCUCAGGGAAGUGGAACAGAUGCUGUAACAGGAGGUACAGAUGUUAAAGCCAUUUUUCGCGAUAUUGAAAAGGGGAAUAUAACUUUGGAUUCACCUGAAGUGGAACAAGGUAUUCCUAUAUUAAAUGUGAAUGCAACAUCUGGAGCAAAGGAAAGGGAACCUGAGACUGGUCUGGCAACUCUUCCUGAAAUGUGCAUCCAAGAAAGUAAAGGGAAAAUUGUAUACUAGAAAAAGAAAGAGGAAAUCUGUGGAUUCGUGCCCUAAUUUUAAUAUUUUGACUCAGUCAAGUCAAUCAAGUUAUAAUGUGUUUGAUCAUGAACCUACUAUUGAUCGCACCCCUGCUGAACAAUCUGUUGUUGCUGAUAUGCAAAAUAGUGAUUCUGAUAAAAAGAUUGUUUUAUAUUCAAGUGGGGAUGAGGGAGUUUAUGUUUCUCCUCUUAAAAUUGCUAAGUUUGUUUCUCAACUGGAUGAUAAUUCUGAUCAGCAGACCACAUUGAAACCUGAAAUAAAAAAUAUGGAGGUAGGAGGUGAAAAUGAAAAACUAAAUUUUGCCUCCUAUAAAGGAAAAGAAGUGUCAGGAGGACAAGUACAACAGAUUGCACAAAGUGCUUAUGUAGAAGAAGAAUUGCUUGGUAGAGGAAAAAGAAUUCGUAAUGCCAGUUGGCAUUUAAAAUCUCCAUAUAAGGGAACAAGUAAAGGUAUGAAUUGGAGUUCAAAAUAUGUCCGAAGAUGUUGCUGGCAUUAUCGGAAAAAAAAUCAAAUCUUCUGAGGAUAAUUUUGUAGCAUAUUUAAAUGAAAACAAGAGAAGAGGUCGUCUACCAAAGGGUGUAACUGAUAUUUACAAAACAGAUCCUGUACUGCAACAAAAUCCAUAUGAUCUUUACAAUGAGAAAGCUAAAUCAAGAAUGUUCUUUAAAGAGAUUGGCGAUGAUAAGUAUACUUUAACUGAUGUGCACAUAGAUGUUUUAUUAUAUUAUAUGAGGAAGAAACAUAUAUAUCACAUCAAUGAGUAUCCAUUUGCCUCAACAACAACAGAUGUGGACUUUAAUGACACUUUGGAUUUGCAUAUAGUGACUGGAAGCGUCGUCCAGAAGGCUGGACUGAGUUUGAAUUUUGGAAUGUGGGAUUUGGAUUUGGGCUUUGUCAGUAUAUAUUGGGUGAGAAUCGUAGAUGUGGGAUUUCAUGGUCAUCUGUUGAAAAUAUUUUCUGUCCGAUUCGACUUCCUGCUCCAAUGGUAAAUGGUGAAAUUCGCUUAAAUUAUUGCACUCAUUAAUACCUGGCAGUUUUAUACUUGAAUGAGAAGACCAUAGAUGUAUAUGAUUCGGUUUACGAGGGCUAUAAGUAUGAUGUUAUAAAGACGCAGCUUCUUUAUUAUCAGCAUUUCAUUCCUGUGGUUAUGGAGUGUUGUAAAUUUGGUGACUUGCAUCCUAUAUUUGAGCAUGUGUAUGAACCAUUUGAUGUUCGCUGGAAAGAAUCACCAAAACAGAUAGGAAACACAAGUUGUGGUGCAUUUGUUAUAAGAUAUGUUGAUAUGUUGAUGCAGGGUAAAGAUGUUAAGACAAUUGUGCCCAAUACAAUUAAAUAUUAUCGGGAGUAUCAUGGUUUUUGUCUAUGGGGACAGGCAGAAUGGAAACACAAAUCAGGGUAUGAAACUCCUCCAGAGAUGGUUGGUGAUGAAUAUGGAGAUAAUGGAAAUAGCUUUUGUAAAUAUCCUUUAGCAUAUGGCAGUCCUCAAGUGUAAAUACCUUGAUAAACAUAGUUUUUUGCAUUAUAUAUUAAACAUGAAUACUUUGUUGAUAUAUAUGCAGAUUUUA